AGGGGCAGUGCCCCUUCACAGAGAUUCAGAGAUAGCCUGGUGGUUGAAGGCCUAAAGUUUGGAAUUCUCCUCUUGGAGAAGUGCUGUUGGGAUAGCUGAGAUGCCUAGGUAAUGGUUCCUGCCACUUCAUCAACAAGCUGUGACAAGUGGAGAAUGACAAGAAGUGGAGAGUAGCAUGCCUUCUACCUUGGUACUGUGAAUUUUGCUGACACAAAGGAUGUUCUCUACCUGGUGUUGGACAGAUCCUCGGAACUUCACAUCUUUCCUGCAUUAAACCCGCACACUCCAAGGACAAAGCAAGUGGCAGAAACUGAGCUCUGCUGAAGUUAAGAGAUAAGAUGACCACUCCUGAGGUCAAGGUAAACUUCCCUGUCUGCACGUGUGCAGGAAGGCUCCUUGGGGGUCAAAAAGGGAGGGAGCACCACCCCAUAAUAAGUGUGGACAUACCUCCCACAGGCCUCUGCAGCCGAAUCCAUCUUGGCAAAAAGCUGCACUCGCAUCUUAGGGAGGGUCCUAGGACUGGUCAACUGUGAAAAAAGAAACAAGAUAAUUGGCUAAAGGUAACCAAAGACCCGGAAGACCAGUCCUAUAUGUGAUUUAAAUCACCCUUUUACGGUACUCCUCAGAGAGGAUGCCCCUAUCCUUGCUGUGUAUUUCUGCCUUGCUUCUGUCUUAAACUGUUUCUCUGUGUGCUGUUCUCCCAAUUGUGCUGUGUCUCUAAUAAUAAACUUUGUACCUGUUCUUAAGUUUUUGCCUCCUUGAAACAUUCUUGCUUUCAAAUGGGGCAAGAGCCAGGGUGCUUCUAGCCUCUAGCCCCUGGUGGAGUAGCGGCUAGGUUCUAUUCCCGGGAAGGAACUAAAAUCUCUCUUCAGGACCACUCACUGGUCUCUCCAAGAUCAGUGUCAGUGAGGAUUCAAAUUC